rnacentral:rRNA from 1 species
AAACUGAAGAGUUUGAUCAUGGCUCAGAUUGAACGCUGGCGGCAGGCCUAACACAUGCAAGUCGAGCGGUAACAGGAAGAAGCUUGCUUCUUUGCUGACGAGCGGCGGACGGGUGAGUAAAACUUGGGAACUUGCCUUUAGGCGGGGGACAACCACGGGAAACUGUGGCUAAUACCGCAUAAUGUCUACGGACCAAAGUGGGGGAUCUUCGGACCUCACGCCUAAAGAUGGGCCCAAGUGAGAUUAGC